GGGUUUCAAGAGCUUUUUACUUGUAAUUUGUUGUACAUAAUCAAUUAGUACAAUGUAGAAUCUGAGAAAUUUCAAAUGAGGCCACAUUUUUAGCUGCUACUAGCAUGAACUAUACAGACUUUUUUUCCAUCUAAGAAAUAAGAAAGUCUUCUGAGUAGCAAAUAGCUAGCCAAAUGAGUUGAUUCUGAUAAUAGCAACACAGUUCUGAUGAGUUAGCAUUUCUUAAAGAGUGAUUUCCCUUAAAUGUAAGGAAAACUUAGGUGUCUCUGUGAUUACAUUUAAUUCCACUUGGAAUUUAGACAAAAAUGACCUUUCAUUCAACCCAGUAGUUGUUGGACUGGAUUAAGUAUUACUGUCAGUUUCCAGCUGUAAUAAGAGAUAAAACAAGGAGCAUUCUAUUACAAAAUCAUAAAUUUCUAUUGCCUCACCUUUAGGAAGGCAGACCUCCUCCCCUAAAAAAAAAAAAAAGGGCCAGUAGGGUCAUAAAACAUAUUUUAUUAAAGUUCAAUCACCUUAAGUGAUUGAAGGUUGUGACUUUCUAUCUAGCAGGUGGUAGUAAUAUUAAGCCUAAAAUCC
rnacentral:lncRNA from 1 species